rnacentral:rRNA from 1 species
CCCAGUGAACAAUUAAACGGCCGCGGUACCCUAACCGUGCAAAGGUAGCAUAAUCAUUUGUCUACUAAUUAUAGACCUGCAUGAAAGGCAAAAUGAGGGUCUAACUGUCUCUUAUAAUGAAUCAAUUAAACUGAUCUCCUAGUAAAAAAGCUAGAAUAUCCACAUAAGACCAGAAGACCCUGUGAAGCUUAAACUAAACUAUUAAACCAUAUAAUAACCACUUUCGGUUGGGGCGACCUUGGAAAAAAAAAGAACUUCCAAAAAACUAUGACUAUCCACACCUACCCAGGCCAACAAGCCAAUAAACGACCCAGCACAGCUGAUCACCGAACCAAGUUACUCCAGGGAUAACAGCGCAAUCCUCUUCAAGAGCCCAUAUCAAAAAGAGGGUUUACGACCUCGAUGUUGGAUCAGGACAUCCUAA